rnacentral:rRNA from 1 species
UAGCUUGCUACCUGACCUAGCGGCGGACGGGUGAGUAAUGCUUAGGAAUCUGCCUAUUAGUGGGGGACAACAUUCCGAAAGGAAUGCUAAUACCGCACACGCCCUACGGGGGAAAGCAGGGGAUCUUCGGACCUUGCGCUAAUAGAUAAGCCUAAGUCAGAUUAGCUAGUUGGUGGGGUAAAGGCCUACCAGGGCGACGAUCUGUAGCGGGUCUGAGAGGAUGAUCCGCCACACUGGGACUGAGACACGGCCCAGACUCCUACGGGAGGCAGCAGUGGGGAAUAUUGGACAAUGGGCGAAAGCCUGAUCCAGCCAUGCCGCGUGUGUGAAGAAGGCCUUUUGGUUGUAAAGCACUUUAAGCGAGGAGGAGGCUACUUGGAUUAAUACUCUAGGAUAGUGGACGUUACUCGCAGAAUAAGCACCGGCUAACUCUGUGCCAGCAGCCGCGGUAAUACAGAGGGUGCGAGCGUUAAUCGGAUUUACUGGGCGUAAAGCGUGCGUAGGCGGCUUCUUAAGUCGGAUGUGAAAUCCCUGAGCUUAACUUAGGAAUUGCAUUCGAUACUGGGAAGCUAGAGUAUGGGAGAGGAUGGUAGAAUUCCAGGUGUAGCGGUGAAAUGCGUAGAGAUCUGGAGGAAUACCGAUGGCGAAGGCAGCCAUCUGGCCUAAUACUGACGCUGAGGUACGAAAGCAUGGGGAGCAAACAGGAUUAGAUACCCUGGUAGUCCAUGCCGUAAACGAUGUCUACUAGCCGUUGGGGCCUUUGAGGCUUUAGUGGCGCAGCUAACGCGAUAAGUAGACCGCCUGGGGAGUACGGUCGCAAGACUAAAACUCAAAUGAAUUGACGGGGGCCCGCACAAGCGGUGGAGCAUGUGGUUUAAUUCGAUGCAACGCGAAGAACCUUACCUGGUCUUGACAUAGUAAGAACUUUCCAGAGAUGGAUUGGUGCCUUCGGGAACUUACAUACAGGUGCUGCAUGGCUGUCGUCAGCUCGUGUCGUGAGAUGUUGGGUUAAGUCCCGCAACGAGCGCAACCCUUUUCCUUAUUUGCCAGCGAGUAAUGUCGGGAACUUUAAGGAUACUGCCAGUGACAAACUGGAGGAAGGCGGGGACGACGUCAAGUCAUCAUGGCCCUUACGACCAGGGCUACACACGUGCUACAAUGGUCGGUACAAAGGGUUGCUACCUAGCGAUAGGAUGCUAAUCUCAAAAAGCCGAUCGUAGUCCGGAUUGGAGUCUGCAACUC